rnacentral:rRNA from 1 species
CCUACGGGGGGCAGCAGUGAGGAAUAUUGGUCAAUGGACGAGAGUCUGAACCAGCCAAGUAGCGUGCAGGAUGACUGCCCUAUGGGUUGUAAACUUCUUUUAUAUGGGAAUAAAAUGAUCCACGUGUGGGAUUUUGUAUGUACCAUAUGAAUAAGGAUCGGCUAAAUCCGUGCCAGCAGCCGCGGUAAUACGGAGGAUCCGAGCGUUAUCCGGAUUUAUUGGGUUUAAAGGGAGCGCAGGUGGCCUGGUAAGUGAGUUGUGAAAGGGUGCGGCUCAACCGUAAAAUUGCAGUGGAAACUGGCAGGCUUGAGUGCGUUAGAGGUAGGCGGAAUUCGUGGUGUAGCGGUGAAAUGCUUAGAUAUCACGAAGAACUCCGAUUGCGAAGGCAGCUCACUGGACUGCAACUGACGCUGAGGCUCGAAAGUGUGGGUAUCGAACAGGAUUAGAUACCCGAGUAGUC